AUCCAACAAAAUAGUGUCCACAUAAAGAAAAUUAGAAGAAAAAAAAUGGAGUAGGAAGAAAGGGCUCAAUGGUGAAGUUUUGGAUCAUCAUCACUUUUUCCAAAGGAUUUUUGGAUGAUACUCUUAAAUUUUAUGAGUUGAAAAGGAUAAAAGAGAUUUAUAUUCGAGAAGCCUAUAAAAUUACAACUCAUGUACAACCUUGAAGUUUCACUAUGAAUCAAAAGAAAAUCAUUGUUGGAGACAUUCAAUCAAAACAGAACAACUUGAUGAGUUUAUGAAUAUAUAUACGUCUUAUUUUUACUGAUAUUUUGUCUAAAAAAUGUUAAAUGAUCUACUUAGGUUUCAUGAAAAUGAUAGAAACAAAAUUGUCUGACAUAAAUUUUUUGAAUUUGUCGUAUAAAAAGAAUAUUGAUGCAACUCAACUAAGAAGUUGUCCAUAUAGAUUAUAUUUGUACAUGUAUUAUGGACAUAAACACGGUUGGUUUAGUAGAGUUUAUAUACCGGCAUCUAAUGAUUGUAAAACAAUUUCAUCUAAUAUAAAAUACUACUUACACAUGACAAAGUUGAUUCGAAAA